rnacentral:lncRNA from 1 species
CGCGCAGGAAUUGGGCGCCUGCUGUUUGCCGGGAGUGCGGCCGAUCGCAGGACCCCUGAGAUCUCCCCGAGGAGGUACCUUUCUUCAUUCGCAGCUCUGCGGACUCAGGCCUGGGCCAUUCUCCUGGAGGUGCAUGCCGGGACCCAGCAAUGGCCACCAGGACCCUGACGGCCGAGGACCAGUUUUCCAACAGAUGGCGGUAAAGAGUUGUGUGAAAACGGAGCCUUGUUCUCCUUUCUACCAAGACUUCUGACAGAAGGUGCCCCUCCACCGUGUCAAAUUGGCCCUUGCGGGAAUCAGUGACUUUCAAGGACGUGGCCGUGGACUUCACCCUGGAGGAGUGGGGCUGGCUGGGGCCUGGCCAGAGGGAGCUGUACCGGGACGUGAUGCUGGAGACCUACCAGAACCUUCUCUCACGGGGUGACGCCCCGCCCCCUGCCCUCAUCUCUGUUGUGCCCACCCGCUGCUGGACGGUGGGCCUUCCCUGGGGGUCCCCGUGGUGCCCUCUCUGCUCCUCUCGCCGGUCCCUCCCGAGUGGCCUCUGUCUGUGUCUCUGUCUCAGCGUCCCUGAGCCCCGAGUCCCCUGCUCGUCCCCACCAUCUUCCACCUGUGACCCCGCCCUCUUCUCAGGCUCCAAGAGCCCCCGAUGUACCCAGUCAACAGGCUCCAUGUUGGAAUCUUCUCCCCAAAGCGCAUACAUG